GGUUUGAGUUUAGUGGUUUGAACACUGGACUACCACUCUAGAAACUAGGGUUUGAGUCCCUGUUUGGCCA
rnacentral:tRNA from 1 species